UACAGAGGUCUCAAGCGUUGUUCGGAUUCAUUGGGCGUAAAGAGCGUGUAGGCGGCCCGGUAAGUCCGCUGUAAAAGUCAAAGGCUCAACCUUUGAAUGUCAGUGGAUACUGCCGGGCUAGAGUCCGGAAGAGGCGAGUGGAACUCCUGGUGUAGCGGUGGAAUGCGCAGAUAUCGAGAGGAACACCUGUGGCGAAGGCGGCCAUCUGGACGGUGACUGACGCUGAGACGCGAAAGCGUGGGGAGCAAACAGG
rnacentral:rRNA from 1 species